UUCACAGAAACCGACUGACGAUGAAGGAUAUCUUGGUGGUGAUGCUGCUGCUGGUGCUCAUGACGUCAGUGGGGUUGUCUUUGGCUCAAAGUUCGGGAUGUUCACCGGCUUGUGAUGAAGGACAGCAGUGUGUUAAUGGCGUGUGUGAAGGAGGUGAUCUGGACAAUUGUUGCAACAAUGGGGGUGGCCCGGGAAAGCGCUAAUCGGCAUUGCUUAUAAGAAAACUAGUACAGUAACAGUAACAGCAACAGCAACAGCAACAGCAACAGCAACAGCAGCAACAGCAGCAGCGACAGCAACAUCACAACCUUGUGAAGACCCAGUCGUUAUAGUGUGUCUGUUCUCCCGAUCUCUGUGCCAUCAAUAAAUGUAGUAGUAGUACGC